rnacentral:rRNA from 1 species
UACAGAGGUCUCAAGCGUUGUUCGGAUUCAUUGGGCGUAAAGGGUGCGUAGGUGGCGUCGUAAGUCAGGGGUGAAAUUCCGGAGCUUAACUCCGAAACUGCAUUUGAUACUGCGGUGCUUGAGGACUGGAGAGGAGACUGGAAUUCACGGUGUAGCAGUGAAAUGCGUAGAUAUCGGGAGGAAGACCAGUGGCGAAGGCGGGUCUCUGGACAGUUCCUGACGCUGAGGCACGAAGGCCAGGGGAGCAAACAGG